ACUGGCGCGUGCUACCAUGCAAGUCGAGCGGAGAUUAUAGCAAUGUAAUCUUAGCGGCGGACGGGUGAGUAACGCGUGGGCAACCUGCCUUUCACAGGGGGAUAACACAGGGAAACUUGUGCUAAUACCGCAUAAGAUCAUAGGAGGACAUCCUCCAGUGACCAAAGGAGCAAUCCGGUGAGAGAUGGGCCCGCGUCCAAUUAGCUAGUUGGUGGUGUAACGGACCACCAAGGCGACGAUUGGUAGCCGAACUGAGAGGUUGAUCGGCCACAUUGGGACUGAGAUACGGCCCAGACUCCUACGGGAGGCAGCAGUGGGGAAUAUUGCGCAAUGGGGGGAACCCUGACGCAGCAACGCCGCGUGAAGGAUGAAGGUUUUCGGAUCGUAAACUUCUUUGAUGAGGGACGAAAAAAAUGACGGUACCUCAAAAACAAGCCACGGCUAACUACGUGCCAGCAGCCGCGGUAAUACGUAGGUGGCGAGCGUUGUCCGGAAUUACUGGGUGUAAAGGGCGUGUAGGCGGGAAUGCAAGUCAGAUGUGAAAUACCGUGGCUUAACCACGGAGCUGCAUCUGAAACUGUGUUUCUUGAGUGUCGGAGAGGAAAGUGGAAUUCCCAGUGUAGCGGUGAAAUGCGUAGAUAUUGGGAGGAACACCAGUGGCGAAGGCGACUUUCUGGACGAUAACUGACGCUGAGGCGCGAAAGCGUGGGGAGCAAACAGGAUUAGAUACCCUGGUAGUCCACGCCGUAAACGAUGGAUACUAGGGUGUAGGAGGUAUCGACCCCUUCUGUGCCGCAGUUAACACAUAAGUAUCCCACCU
rnacentral:rRNA from 1 species